UACGAAGGGGGCUAGCGUUGCUCGGAAUUACUGGGCGUAAAGCGCACGUAGGCGGAUUGUUAAGUCGGGGGUGAAAUCCUGGAGCUCAACUCCAGAACUGCCUUCGAUACUGGCGAUCUAGAGUCCGGGAGAGGUGAGUGGAACUGCGAGUGUAGAGGUGAAAUUCGUAGAUAUUCGCAAGAACACCGGUGGCGAAGGCGCCACUCUGGGCCGGUACUGACGCUGAGGAGCGAAAGCGUGGGGAGCGAACAGG
rnacentral:rRNA from 1 species